rnacentral:rRNA from 1 species
GUCGAACGAUGAAGCCCAGCUUGCUGGGUGGAUUAGUGGCGAACGGGUGAGUAACACGUGAGUAACCUGCCCUUAACUCUGGGAUAAGCCUGGGAAACUGGGUCUAAUACCGGAUAGGAGCGCCCACCGCAUGGUGGGUGUUGGAAAGAUUUAUCGGUUUUGGAUGGACUCGCGGCCUAUCAGCUUGUUGGUGAGGUAAUGGCUCACCAAGGCGACAACGGGUAGCCGGCCUGAGAGGGUGACCGGCCACACUGGGACUGAGACACGGCCCAGACUCCUACGGGAGGCAGCAGUGGGGAAUAUUGCACAAUGGGCGAAAGCCUGAUGCAGCGACGCCGCGUGAGGGAUGACGGCCUUCGGGUUGUAAACCUCUUUCAGUAGGGAAGAAGCGAAAGUGACGGUACCUGCAGAAGAAGCACCGGCUAACUACGUGCCAGCAGCCGCGGUAAUACGUAGGGUGCGAGCGUUAUCCGGAAUUAUUGGGCGUAAAGAGCUCGUAGGCGGUUUGUCGCGUCUGUCGUGAAAGUCCGGGGCUUAACCCCGGAUCUGCGGUGGGUACGGGCAGACAAGAGGGCAGCAGGGGAGACUG